rnacentral:snoRNA from 1 species
AAUCCAUGUUAUGGGCAUUAGCGAUGUAAACCUUUUAUCAUUCCCAAGCCUCUAAAUAGCAUUCUGAGUCCUGUUGUUCGAAAAUAGUAAUCUCAUCCCUCAGGUU